rnacentral:rRNA from 1 species
CGCCACACUGGGACUGAGACACGGCCCAGACUCCUACGGGAGGCAGCAGUGGGGAAUAUUGGACAAUGGGGGGAACCCUGAUCCAGCCAUGCCGCGUGUGUGAAGAAGGCCUUUUGGUUGUAAAGCACUUUAAGCGAGGAGGAGGCUACCUAGAUUAAUACUUUAGGAUAGUGGACGUUACUCGCAGAAUAAGCACCGGCUAACUCUGUGCCAGCAGCCGCGGUAAUACAGAGGGUGCGAGCGUUAAUCGGAUUUACUGGGCGUAAAGCGUGCGUAGGCGGCCAAUUAAGUCAAAUGUGAAAUCCCCGAGCUUAACUUGGGA